GCACAAACAAAAAAGUAAAUAAGAACAGCACUCCUCCUGAAAUGCAAAAUGUAUACCCACUAUUAAAAAUGCUAACAGACAGCCCUCUUUCUACACUCCCCCACCCCCCUCUCUUUUUUUCAGUCUUCCUUCAGGACCCUACUAGUUGAUCUAGGGAAAAGCCAUGCAUCUAAUGAACAUCGCAGCAGACUUCACAUACCCCAACCAUUUACAUAAGCAUGGAAGCAAGAACACGGGCUUACCUGAGAAAACUUGGACUUGUAAGUGUUCAAAAUAGUUGCCAUGAAUGAAGAUAAAAGAGUUUCAAAUACCUAUAACAUCAAGGG